rnacentral:rRNA from 1 species
GACGAACGCUGGCGGCGUGCUUAACACAUGCAAGUCGAACGGUGAUCCCGGUGCUUGCACCGGGGGAUCAGUGGCGAACGGGUGAGUAACACGUGAGCAACCUGCCCCUGACUUCGGGAUAACUUCGAGAAAUCGGAGCUAAUACCGGAUAUGACCUGCGCGGGCAUCCGUGUGGGUGGAAAGAUUUAUCGGUUGGGGAUGGGCUCGCGGCCUAUCAGCUUGUUGGUGGGGUGAUGGCCUACCAAGGCGACGACGGGUAGCCGGCCUGAGAGGGCGACCGGCCACACUGGGACUGAGACACGGCCCAGACGCCUACGGGAGGCAGCAGUGGGGAAUAUUGCUCAAUGGGCGCAAGCCUGAAGCAGCGACGCCGCGUGAGGGAUGAAGGCCUUCGGGUUGUAAACCUCUUUCAGCGCCGAAGAAGCGAAAGUGACGGUAGGCGCAGAAGAAGCACCGGCUAACUACGUGC